UUGACCUGGGAUCAGGU
rnacentral:rRNA from 1 species